rnacentral:rRNA from 2 species
AGAGUUUGAUUAUGGCUCAGAUUGAACGCUGGCGGCAGGCUUAACACAUGCAAGUCGAGCGGAGUGAUGGUGCUUGCACUAUCACUUAGCGGCGGACGGGUGAGUAAUGCUUAGGAAUCUGCCUAUUAGUGGGGGACAACAUUUCGAAAGGAAUGCUAAUACCGCAUACGUCCUACGGGAGAAAGCAGGGGAUCUUCGGACCUUGCGCUAAUAGAUGAGCCUAAGUCGGAUUAGCUAGUUGGUGGGGUAAAGGCCUACCAAGGCGACGAUCUGUAGCGGGUCUGAGAGGAUGAUCCGCCACACUGGGACUGAGACACGGCCCAGACUCCUACGGGAGGCAGCAGUGGGGAAUAUUGGACAAUGGGCGCAAGCCUGAUCCAGCCAUGCCGCGUGUGUGAAGAAGGCCUUAUGGUUGUAAAGCACUUUAAGCGAGGAGGAGGCUACUGAAGUUAAUACCUUCAGAUAGUGGACGUUACUCGCAGAAUAAGCACCGGCUAACUCUGUGCCAGCAGCCGCGGUAAUACAGAGGGUGCAAGCGUUAAUCGGAUUUACUGGGCGUAAAGCGCGCGUAGGCGGCUAAUUAAGUCAAAUGUGAAAUCCCCGAGCUUAACUUGGGAAUUGCAUUCGAUACUGGUUAGCUAGAGUGUGGGAGAGGAUGGUAGAAUUCCAGGUGUAGCGGUGAAAUGCGUAGAGAUCUGGAGGAAUACCGAUGGCGAAGGCAGCCAUCUGGCCUAACACUGACGCUGAGGUGCGAAAGCAUGGGGAGCAAACAGGAUUAGAUACCCUGGUAGUCCAUGCCGUAAACGAUGUCUACUAGCCGUUGGGGCCUUUGAGGCUUUAGUGGCGCAGCUAACGCGAUAAGUAGACCGCCUGGGGAGUACGGUCGCAAGACUAAAACUCAAAUGAAUUGACGGGGGCCCGCACAAGCGGUGGAGCAUGUGGUUUAAUUCGAUGCAACGCGAAGAACCUUACCUGGCCUUGACAUAGUAAGAACUUUCCAGAGAUGGAUUGGUGCCUUCGGGAACUUACAUACAGGUGCUGCAUGGCUGUCGUCAGCUCGUGUCGUGAGAUGUUGGGUUAAGUCCCGCAACGAGCGCAACCCUUUUCCUUAUUUGCCAGCGAGUAAUGUCGGGAACUUUAAGGAUACUGCCAGUGACAAACUGGAGGAAGGCGGGGACGACGUCAAGUCAUCAUGGCCCUUACGGCCAGGGCUACACACGUGCUACAAUGGUCGGUACAAAGGGUUGCUACCUAGCGAUAGGAUGCUAAUCUCAAAAAGCCGAUCGUAGUCCGGAUUGGAGUCUGCAACUCGACUCCAUGAAGUCGGAAUCGCUAGUAAUCGCGGAUCAGAAUGCCGCGGUGAAUACGUUCACGGGCCUUGUACACACCGCCCGUCACACCAUGGGAGUUUGUUGCACCAGAAGUAGGUAGUCUAACCGCAAGGGGGACGCUUACCACGGUGUGGCCGAUGACUGGGGUGAAGUCGUAACAAGGUAACCGUAAAU